AUGAACGCUGGCGGCGUGCCUUAUGCAUGCAAGUCGAACGGUUUCGAGUAAUCGGAACAGUGGCAAACGGGUGAGUAACGCGUAAGUAACCUGCCCUUAAGUGGGGAAUAGCCCCGGGAAACUGGGGUUAAUACCGCAUGUGGUCCCUCACCACAAGGUGAGUGAUUAAAGCCGCAAGGCGCUUUUGGAGGGGCUUGCGUCCGAUUAGCUAGUUGGUGAGGUAACGGCCCACCAAGGCUGAGAUCGGUAGCUGGUCUGAGAGGAUGGCCAGCCACACUGGGACUGAGACACGGCCCAGACUCCUACGGGAGGCAGCAGCAAGGAAUAUUGCGCAAUGGGCGAAAGCCUGACGCAGCGACGCCGCGUGAGGGAUGAAGACCUUCGGGUUGUAAACCUCUUUUAUCAGGGAAGAAUAAUGACGGUACCUGGUGAAUAAGUCUCGGCUAACUACGU
rnacentral:rRNA from 1 species